UCUGAGAUCAUGACCUGAGCCACUCGAGAGUCGGCUGCUUGACCAACGUAGCCAUCCAAGUGCCCCGCACAAUAACGCCUUCUACCAGAACGAAUCCCGCAACUUCUCUUGGGCAGAGAUGGCCUGCCAGGAAAGCAGCUACUUUGAAGAAGUAUAGAAGAUACGAGGAAGAAGGUAAAAAUUACCCUGAGAUCCAGCUCUGCAGAGAAACCUUGAAGACCGGGGAAGUGUGUACUCCAUCUCCGUCCCGCCUGCCACUCCAGUGGGAACUCUGAAAGUACCGUUCUACUUCAGCCUCAGGAGAAAGGAGGGAGUUUGGGAUCGAGAAGACGGAGCAGGACUCGACACCAUACGGUUCCCUUUCACUCUGUGCACGUGUGUGCUCUUUUCGUGUGUCCAAAAGACAAAGAGGAGAAGCCAAAAGGGGAAAACAGGCAAUCGGAUCGGAAACAGAGUAUGAGUUUGUAUUCACAAAAUAAACUUUUAUUCCUCUACCCGGGACGCUGCCCCAAUUUCCGGCCACUAACCUCAGUGGCCGUGCUGACCCACUUCUGGCUAUUUUUAUUUGUUCCUUGAAAAUGUUCCCUGUGUGAUUAAAGUUUACUCUUGUCAACUUUGUUCCUAUCCUCCCUGCCCCCUGGGUCCAAAGGUGCAGCCCUUCCCACCUCCCUCCCAAUAAUCACGGUGCGUUCAGAGCCAAAGGGCAGCAGGGUUUAUUGGCAAUGGGACAAAACAGCGACCCCUUUCCUUGCCACAAGAGACGCCACAAGACCCGGCCCGUGGAGCUGUGCAGCCUGAGUCUUCACCUCUUGUCCGGGUUUCCUCGCCGAAGCCCGCACACCCUGCUGGAGACAGCGUUUCCAGACCCCAGUCCCGUGGGGGGCACGCGGAUGCCGGGAUUCCUGCUCCGGGCCCUGAGUAUGCAGCUACUUAUCUGUGAUUACAGCCUGAGUCAACAGCAGAAGCAGGAAGUGGACCUAGGGUCCGGCAUCGUAUGGAAAGUUGGGUGUAUUUACUUUUCUCUUAAAGCAAACUUUGAUUUACCCUUUAAUAAGUUACCACUAAGGAUCUAGUUCUAGAAAAUCCAAGUCACAUGUUGAUAAAAGAGGAGAGGAAACGGUGAGACUUUGCAUUCUUCCAGCUUUAUCAUUAACCCCAGGUUUGGAAAUUCAUUUGCUUUAGAAGGCUAGGUUUCCAGGUUUUCAAGAGUGGGGUCAUUCUCUCUUGAUGAGGGGUUUUUGACAUCCUCAGCUGAAAGGCAUUAUAAACAGGGUAGCGCUUGGCCCCACUGAACCCCUGGAGAUGUGUGACCAAAUAAAGGCUGACCUUCGCAGGUUAAUGUCUUGGUGCUCUCACUCCCUGUGCCACCUGGGCAAACCC